rnacentral:rRNA from 2 species
CUUGCUUCUAUGACGUUAGCGGCGGACGGGUGAGUAACACGUGGGCAACCUGCCUGUAAGACUGGGAUAACUUCGGGAAACCGAAGCUAAUACCGGAUAGGAUCUUCUCCUUCAUGGGAGAUGAUUGAAAGAUGGUUUCGGCUAUCACUUACAGAUGGGCCCGCGGUGCAUUAGCUAGUUGGUGAGGUAACGGCUCACCAAGGCAACGAUGCAUAGCCGACCUGAGAGGGUGAUCGGCCACACUGGGACUGAGACACGGCCCAGACUCCUACGGGAGGCAGCAGUAGGGAAUCUUCCGCAAUGGACGAAAGUCUGACGGAGCAACGCCGCGUGAGUGAUGAAGGCUUUCGGGUCGUAAAACUCUGUUGUUAGGGAAGAACAAGUACGAGAGUAACUGCUCGUACCUUGACGGUACCUAACCAGAAAGCCACGGCUAACUACGUGCCAGCAGCCGCGGUAAUACGUAGGUGGCAAGCGUUAUCCGGAAUUAUUGGGCGUAAAGCGCGCGCAGGCGGUUUCUUAAGUCUGAUGU